GGGCCCGUAGCUCAGCUGGAAGAGCAGUGGACUUUUAAUCCAUUGGUCGGGAGUUCGAGUCUCCCCGGGCCUACCA
rnacentral:tRNA from 2 species